CCUACGGGUGGCAGCAGUGAGGAAUAGUGGUCAAUGGGCGCGAGCCUGAACCAGCCAAGUCGCGUGAGGGAAGACGGUCCUAUGGAGUGUAAACCGCUUUUGUAGGGGAGCAAAAGACGCCACGCGUGGCGUUCUGAGUGUACCCUACGAAUAAGCAUCGGCUAACUCCGUGCCAGCAGCCGCGGUAAUACGGAGGAUGCGAGCGUUAUCCGGAUUUAUUGGGUUUAAAGGGUGCGCGGGCGGGAGAUCAAGUCAGGGGUAAAAUUGAGAGGCUCAACCUCUUCGUGCCGUUGAAACUGGGAGUCUUGAGUGCGUUAGAAGUAUGCGGAAUGCGUGGUGUAGCGGUGAAAUGCUUAGAUAUCACUCAGAACUCCGAUUGCGAAGGCAGCAUGCCGGCGCUCAACUGACGCUGAUGCACGAAAGUGUGGGUAUCGAACAGGAUUAGAUACCCUAGUAGUC
rnacentral:rRNA from 1 species